GGGCUUAUAGCUCAGUUGGUUAGAGCGCUUCCUUGACAUGGAAGAGGUCAGAGGUUCGAGUCCUCUUAGGCCCACCA
rnacentral:tRNA from 1 species